rnacentral:lncRNA from 1 species
CAAAUUUCUCCCAUAGACACAAAGACACAUGUCCCACACACACCUACAUACGCCUCAUACACAUAGACACAAAGACACAUGCCCCCCCACACACACCUACAUACGCCUCAUACACAUAGACACAAAGACACAUGCCACCCCCCACACAGAGGCGCCCCCCCACACACACCUACAUAUGCCUCAUACACAUAGACACAAAGACACAUGCCCCCCCACACACACCUACAUACGCCUCAUACACAUAGACACAAAGACACAUGCCCCCCCACACACACAGAGGCCCCCCACACACACCUACAUACGCCUCAUACACAUAGACACAAAGACGCAUGCCCCACACACACACCUACAUACGCCUCAUACACAUGCCCCCCACACACCUACAUAUGUCUCAUACACAUAGACACAAAGACACAUGCCCCCCACACACACCUACAUAUGUCUCAUACACAUAAACACAAAGACACAUGCCCACACAUACACACCUACAUAUGUCUCAUACACAUAGACACAAAGAUGCAUGCCCCCCACACACACCUACAUACACCUCAUACACAUAGACACAAAGACACAUGCCUCCCCACACCCACAGAGGCCCCCACACCUACAUACACCUCACCACAUAUGCCUCAUACACAUAGACACA